rnacentral:rRNA from 1 species
GAGUUUGAUCNUGGCUCAGAACGAACGCUGGCGGCAGGCCUAACACAUGCAAGUCGAGCGCGCCUUUCGGGGUGAGCGGCGGACGGGUUAGUAACGCGUGGGAAUAUGCCCUUUGGUACGGAAUAGCCUCUGGAAACGGAGAGUAAUACCGUAUGCGCCCUUCGGGGGAAAGAUUUAUCGCCAAAGGAUUAGCCCGCGUUAGAUUAGGUAGUUGGUGGGGUAAUGGCCUACCAAGCCUACGAUCUAUAGCUGGUUUUAGAGGAUGAUCAGCAACACUGGGACUGAGACACGGCCCAGACUCCUACGGGAGGCAGCAGUGGGGAAUCUUGGACAAUGGGGGCAACCCUGAUCCAGCCAUGCCGCGUGAGUGAUGAAGGCCUUAGGGUCGUAAAGCUCUUUCGCCUGUGAAGAUAAUGACGGUAGCAGGUAAAGAAACCCCGGCUAACUCCGUGCCAGCAGCCGCGGUAAUACGGAGGGGGUUAGCGUUGUUCGGAAUUACUGGGCGUAAAGCGCACGUAGGCGGAUCGGAAAGUUGGGGGUGAAAUCCCGGGGCUCAACCCCGGAACUGCCUCCAAAACUAUCGGUCUAGAGUUCGAGAGAGGUGAGUGGAAUUCCGAGUGUAGAGGUGAAAUUCGUAGAUAUUCGGAGGAACACCAGUGGCGAAGGCGGCUCACUGGCUCGAUACCGACGGUGAGGUGCGAAAGUGUGGGGAGCAAACAGGAUUAGAUACCGUGGUAGUC